rnacentral:rRNA from 1 species
UGAGGGAAAGGCGAAAAGAACCCCGGCGAGGGGAGUGAAAAAGAACCUGAAACCGUGUACGUACAAGCAGUGGGAGCCCCACCACCAAAGCAUUCUCUGGUGUUGAAGGCCCUGCAAAGCAGCAUCGCGGUGGCGGAGCGUCGUUUGCGACGCCCAACACACAAAACAAGCGGUGAGUGCUUUGGGGUGGGGUGACUGCGUACCUUUUGUAUAAUGGGUCAGCGACUUAUAUUCUGUAGCAAGGUUAACCGUAUAGGGGAGCCGGAGGGAAACCGAGUCUUAACUGGGCGUUAAGUUGCAGGGUAUAGACCCGAAACCCGGUGAUCUAGCCAUGGGCAGGUUGAAGGUUGGGUAACACUAAC